UUGAAUGUGCCGGUUCAAUU
rnacentral:misc_RNA from 1 species